rnacentral:SRP_RNA from 1 species
CCGUGCUAGACGGGGAGGUAGCGGUGCCCUGUAACCUGCAACCCGCUAUAGCAGGGUUUAAUUCCGGUGGGAGGCGGCUCUUCGUGGUACCGGCUAUGACACGUGGUGUUGAAGAUCAGGUCCUGCGCAACGGAGACCGGUGAACCCCGCCAGGUCCGGAAGGAAGCAACGGUAAGCCGAUCCCUCCGUGUGCCGCGGGGCAACCUGGUUGGAGCUAACGAUCAUAGUACGAUCGGGAGGAGUCCGUCAAAAGCCGGUGCACGG